rnacentral:rRNA from 1 species
UACAGAGGGUGCAAGCGUUAAUCGGAAUUACUGGGCGUAAAGCGUGCGCAGACGGUUGCGUAAGUCAGAUGUGAAAGCCCCGGGCUCAACCUGGGAAUUGCAUUUGAGACUGCGUAGCUAGGGUGCGGAAGAGGGAAGCGGAAUUUCCGGUGUGAGCGGUGAAAUGCGUAGAUAUCGGAAGGAACACCAGUGGCGAAAAGCGGCUUCCUGGUCCAGCACCGACGUUCAGGCACGAAAGCGUGGGGAGCAACAGG